GCCGUGCUUACAACCUGAUAUGUACCAAAAUGUACAUAAAUGUAAAUGAAUGAAAUGGCUAUAUAUAUAAGAUAAAUACACUAUAUACUUGCAAAAUUAUUUAGAUUUAGUGUCUGUGAUUUAUCAGUUUGGUUACAAGUGUAACUUCGAGUGGAACUUCAUUACGAACCUGAAGAUUUGUUAAGUUGAUUAGCAGUAUAUCCCUCAGAACUUUCCGUAAGCAAUGCCAAAAUGCCUCGUUCGACUCGCUAUCGCGGCCUCCUUUGUUCUCUUCCAUGUUUCCAACUAGUUGCCGAUAUGUAUAUGAUUUUUUGAUAUGACGUUCGCUAUCUUGUCGUAUCCAGUUGAUCGCUUACUGUGGAGCCGUGUACGCCAUUUUCGUUUCUGUUCGUGAACAUGUCCGCGCAUGCUCGUAUUGAUAGUCGUUUGCGGCGAUUUACUUUCGCACUGUUGGUCGAAGUGACAUUUUCAAAAAAAAAAUAUUUCUAAGAACUUUGGGUUACCUUUAGGCUUUGAGCGUUGUAAUACAGUUAUUUUUAUAACUUUUACUAGGUGAGAAAAAUACAAGAUUCCCAUUUACUUUUGUUUUUAUAGCAUAAUAUAAUUUCAAUGACGGAAUGCCCCUUUGAGGCAAAAUAUACUGGGUCAGCAUUUGAUUUUACUAAUUGUCUUUUACAAGCAGUGUUUUGAUUGGUAAAAUCAGACAAAAUGUGAUAUUUUCCACCAGUGAAAAAUGAUCACUUUUAUAUGAUGAAUAGUUUUUGAUAUUCGAUUGGUAUAAAAAUUAUUUGAACAAUGUCGCUGAUUUUGUUUUCCAAUUAAUUACAGCAAGCACUACCACGACCACUAUAACUACAGUUACACCACGAGUUUGUGAAUAUGGCUGGAUCUCGUCACCGGAAAAGUGUUACUUUUUCUCAUAUGAUUCCGAUAAAAGAGAAUGGGCCCCAGCAGUUGACCGAUGCAAGGAAAUGGGAGCGAACCUGGUAGAGGUCAAAACGGAUAAAGAAGCUCAAUUCCUUGUAGACAACUUUGCAGGUAACAUUGGUCCCUUUGAUUGGGUAUACACUGGACGGAGGAGGAAUGAUGAAUACGUUUGGGUUUUCCUCAGCAACGAUGAGAGAGUGGAUACAUCUGUGAGGUCAUGGGCUUACAAUGCACCAUCCGGAGAGACUUGCGGGUGUGCAAAGAAAGCGAACAGAUUUCUGAUGCAAGACUGUGUAUGUAACGGAUACGAUCUCUAUUUCAUCUGCGAAAUUUUGCGCUAGGAACACUCUGCUGUGAAUGCCUUAUCUUAAAAGUGAAGUUUUCCGCUACACAUGGACAUAUCUGUUAAAGAACAUGAAUGUGUUGAACAUAAGAAGCUUGGCAUUAAAAUUGGUAUUAAUAUAUAAA